UUAUCCUCUAAGAGCUCUGAAAGUGCGGAAGAUGCCGGGGGAUGGUUAGGUAUGUCUUUUAUUAGCUUCUACUGGUCACUGAACAAAAACUUUUUACCAAGUGCUCAGAAGUUGGAUACACUUGGCGAGUACAGCCCUGUCUACAUUUCAUCAUUUAGAGAGUCAGAGGCACAAGGUGGAGCCAGAUUGCUCCUACCUGUUGGGGUUAAUGAUACCAUUAUACCAGUGUAUGACGAAGAGCCCACAAG
rnacentral:misc_RNA from 1 species